rnacentral:rRNA from 1 species
AGUGAACGCUGGCGGUAGGCCUAACACAUGCAAGUCGAACGGCAGCACAGUAAGAGCUUGCUCUUACGGGUGGCGAGUGGCGGACGGGUGAGGUAUACAUCGGAAUCUACUUUUUCGUGGGGGAUCACGUAGGGAAACUUACGCUAAUACCGCAUACGACCUACGGGUGAAAGCAGGGGAUCUUCGGACCUUGCGCGGUUGAAUGAGCCGAUGUCGGAUUAGCUAGUUGGCGGGGUAAAGGCCCACCAAGGCGACGAUCCGUAGCUGGUCUGAGAGGAUGGUCGGCCACACGGGAGCUGAGACAGGGUCCAGACGCCUACGAGAGGCAGCAGUGGGGAAUAUUGGACAGUGGGCGCAAGCCUGAUCCAGCCAUACCGCGUGGGUGAAGGAGGCCUUCGGGUUGUAAAGCCCUUUUGUUGGGAAAGAAAAGCAGCAGGUUAAUACCCCGCGGUUCUGACGGUACCCAAAGAAUAAGCACCGGCUAACUUCGUG